GGAAAGAUGAAAAGAACUUUGAAAAGAGAGUUAAACAGUACGUGAAAUUGUUGAAAGGGAAACGAUUGAAGCCAGUCAUACCAACGGGAAAUCAACCUUUUGAGCUUUGUCUCGUGGGUUCGAAGAGUUUAAACGCCUUCGGGUUCGCGAGAUUGGGAUCUUCUGGUGUACUUUCUCGCACGGUUAGUCAACAUCGGUUUUGAAUGUCAUAAAAUGACUGGAGGAAUGUAGCUUCGAUCUCGUAUCGAAGUGUUAUAGCCUUUGGUAGAUGUGAUGUUUGAGACCGAGGAUUGCAACGGAUACCCUUCAUGGGCUAUUCGUCUGAUCUCUGAUACGUUGCCUUGACGUUGAAAGCUUGCUUAUGAUGUUAGGGUAUUACGGUCAAAAGGUUAGAACGGAUUAAAUUCGUUAAGGAUGUUGACGUAAUGACUUUAAACGACCCGUCUUGAAACACGGACCA
rnacentral:rRNA from 2 species